rnacentral:lncRNA from 1 species
GAACCGGCAGGUCUGAUCCUGAAAUACGGCCUCAAUAUGUGCCGCCAAGAGGGACUUUUUAGAGAGCAGGUGAUACAUGACUCUAGGCCUUGAAGGAUGAGUGCAAUUUCACCAGUUAAAGAAGAGUUAGGUGAAAAUAGUGGGGGCAUAAGUUUGGGUAGCUAAGGUGGUUGCAGGAAAACUUGAAAACCAGGGGGAAGAAUUUGAACCUGAAUUGCUAAGUACUAGGAAGCAGUCAACUGCAGACUUCCUGAUGGCAUGACUGGUGCAAUGUUGAAGGAAAAUUGGCCAGACAUAAUGUACUGGAGACAGGUGGCCUGGAGGCAACCAUGUAGUUCUUGCAGCACCAGUCAUUGGAAGGUGAAAAAGCCUGGGCCUGGGGCAUGAAUGAAGGAUUGGAGAGGAAAGGAAGGGACAACCACACGGAGGAACAGUGCUUGGCACAGGGAAGGAGAUGAAUACAUGCCUGUUGAGAGAAUGAAUAUUUAAUGGGUAAUUAACAGGACUUGAAGUAUCAAAAAAAGGGGUGAACAUGAAGCAUGGCUAUAACUCUAAGGAUUUGAACAUAAAUGACAAAAAAAAAUGGUUUCUCAUUGCACUGACAGGGAUUGCGGGUAUGAGCGAUGAAAUGGAUUCAAAGAAAAAGAAAUUAACUCAGUCCUGGUAAACUCCUGCUGGGUACAGUUUUGCUUCCUUCUCCUGAGUAUAGGACUUCGUAUACAGCAAUUUAUCGUAAUCAUUAAUAGGAAGUUAAUAGUGCAAGUAAGUAAGGGAAAUGAGGGCAUGGCUUUCAAUGUUGUGUCCUAAGAUGGCUCAUCUUAGGGAUUUUCCCAAAGUGCUGCUAGGACUUUUAGCUUCUUUGGCCUCAGUUUCCUCAUCUGAAAAAUGUGGAAGUUGAUCUGUGUCUAGCUAAUGUCCUUCUAAUAUUAAUAAUGAGUGACUCUUCUUUUUGUUGAUAUCAGUGUUUUUUUUCUCCUUAAAAAAAACACUUAAAAAAUAAACCCCAACUCUUUAGGCCUAUUUCUUCCCUCCGAUGUGAGCAGAGAAAACGAAUGUAUGAGGCACAGGAGAAGCUAAAGGACUUAUGAGCUGAAGGGCUAUUUCUCACUGGUUUAGAGGAUCCCGUUGCCAUAAAUGGAAGUGGUGUUUGGAGUGUUGUUUUU